rnacentral:lncRNA from 1 species
AGGGAUGGGGCACCCACAGCUCUGGACAGCAGUGCCGGGGCCUCACCGCCCUCUGAGUGAAGAAUUUCUUCCCUUUAUUUAAUCUAAACCCACACUUCUUCAGUUUAAAGCCACUACCCCCUUGUCCUAUGCUUUUAUAAAAAGUUAAUCUGCUUUCAGAAGCCUCCUUUAAGUAUUGAAAGGCUGCAGUAGGGCCUCCCUGGAGACUACACACUGCAUAUUUUCACUGCAACUAACUAAGUGCUCUAACUCAGGGUAGGCUGGUAGCUGUUGCUGAAUAGCAAUGCUUCCUAGCUGUACAUGGCCCGGCUUUGGAUACGACGACCAUAGUGAGGCCUGGUGUGACAAUCUAGACACUGUGCAGUACCUCAUGUAACUCAGGGGUGACGUUUUGCAUCGAAAGGGGGGGGGAUCCCUUUGAUCUUCCUGAUGGUGUAACUUGUUUCCUUGCUUGGAUAACUUGUAGCUAUUUGAAUGAGAGUUUACUAGUUCAUGCUGCAGUCCUGAUUCUGAGGACUGUUUGCCCCUCAAAACAAAACAUAACCAAGUUUGAGUCCAUUGAGUGAGCUAGCAGUAAAAGAGCGUGCAGAUGUGUAGUAACUUCACACUAUUCUCUAUUCCUUCAAAACAGCAACAGAUAAGGAUGAAGGCAGAACUCUGGUGCAGUCCCCAGUUGUUGGGGCUCGUAGGGCAGUUAUAACUGUGCUUUUUCCAAUGGUAGUCAUCUUAAAACACGGAGUUCAGCUUUAUGAGUGCUAAGAAUCUGUGACUGCUGUGUUGAAAUGUUAGUCUGGGAGAAGAAUUUUCUGCCUUGACUUUGCUUCACUUGAAGCUCUAAGCGGUGACAAAAGCAUUUUGCAGUCAGGCAUAUUUCUCAGACUGAAGCCUUUCUGUGUGUCUGCUUUUUUCCAUCCAUUCCCGAGGGUGAGACUGAAGGCAGUGUUUUGCUUCCAGGCUUGUGGGGAGAUGAGACUUAUUUAGAAAUGAUUUGUGAUUCAGUGUAGUUGAUAGCUAUGUUUUUUGGACUUAUUCAGUCGCGACUGUGUUUCAUAUAAAGCUGUGUUCUCUAAACCAUUGGCAUGGAUUUCCUGGUGGAAAUUGUUACCCUGCAGCCCUCUGGAAGAUGUAUGUUCUUUAGCACAGGCACCUGAUGCCCAGUGAGGAGCUGGAAGAAGGAAAAAGCAGGAGGAGUAUAAGCAGGAAGAGAAUGGAAGGAGCAGGGAUGCUUUUGCGUUGGAGUGGUGCAUUGUGCAGGCAAGAAAUAUAUUUUUUAGUGAUUACCAAUUCACUUAUCUGGAUUCAGAAUGUGUGGGAAAAACUGCUUUUCCUGCACUUCUGUGUCUCAAAAGGCUCAAAUUCUUGUUGGUGAGGAAAGCUCCAGCUCUUGUUUCGCUCUUCUGAGAUGACCAGAUGGAGGUAGGACUGGCGACUUAUUUUUUUUCUUAAUCUUUGUGUUGCCUUCAACAACAAAUUAUGAAGGAGAAGAAUCUUUAAUUGGAAGGUCUGAGCUUCUUGUCUUUCUUUUUAAUGCCUAUUCAGAAACCCUUGCAUGUUGUCACUGGCCAUCAAGCUGGAUGUUGUGCAGUGAGUGGUAGAGAAAGAGAAAUAAUCUAUUAUAAUUGGACAGGAAGACAUUUUUUAUACUGUGAUUUACUGUUAUUAAUGUAUGCUCUUCACCUCUUAUUCAGUGCAGAGUACUAAAAAACAGUCUGUGUUGCAAUCAGAGCAGUGGUGGUUCUUUGAGGAGCUACCAUAUUGAUGGGUGAAUACAGCCUGCAGUAAUGACUUGGAUGGGUACAGAACUUCUUUUAAAGCCUGUAUGCUAUUACUGGUGAAAUAAGUGUCACAGAGCCCAGUUUUGUGCCUUAAAAUGAACUAACCUGCUCAGGGCUGGCCUUUGCAUACAGUUUCUGUGCUGUUUGCUAGUCAGGAGAUGCCAAGAGACAGCAGUGGUCCAGGAAUGAUUUAAGCCUGGUGAAUUUGUGAUGUACAAGUGAUGUAACCCACCUUGGCCCCUGGUCUGGGAGAUGUGAAUCCUGAAAAUGCACGAGAGGUGGAUUUCUCUGGGUGAAACGGUUGGACAGCACUUUUCUCUUAGCUUUUCAGAAGAAGUUUUGUGUUACGUCCACACGGUGGCAUUACUUUGUUAGUUUUGCAGAUUCUCACCGAAUCCUGCACCGGGGGCAGAGCAACUCCUCGACUGCAGGCUGGGGGCAGCACGGCAGCAAAGACCUUGUCUGUCCUGAUGGGUACAUCGCAUACGGCACAAAACUCUGUUGGGCGGCGUUAGCAAGAGCAGAGCCAGCGUGAUUCCCGUAGUGGUGCAUGAGAUGCAGAUGCUGCUGCUACACACAGAGGCUUGGUUGUCCUGAGGAUCACACAGUGCAGGGAGGUGCUGCUAACACAAGCCUGGCCCUCCCCAUUUUACAGAUAGGGUAUGUCUGUGGCCUUCUGUCACAAGCACGAGUAUUUUAGGAUUGUACUUCUGAGUCUUUGCGUACACUGCUUUUGAAGACUGAAGAACUUAUAGUACCAUUGAAACUCUUUGACCUGUUCCAUUCUUCUGCCGUUCUACACACUGCCUACUGAUAACCCUUAGAAAUGAGGAACUGGUAAAAGGAUGUGUGGUCUGAAUGUCCACUCUUGCAUCCUGUUUACUUUGCAACAACUACUUGUAUGAUGAAACUUACUCAUAUCCUUAGUGUUUUGAUGGGUUGUGGCCAUAGAGUGCAGAGUAUAUGUUUAUUAAACUAUAGAAAUAGUUAAAUUUUCAAACAAGUAACUUACAUACAUGAAAGUGCAUUAACUUUUUAAUCUCAGUCCCAGUGAGUUUCAUUUCAGAAGUUCGAUUCUCCCACGCUUUCUUGCACUGAGUAAUAUCUUGCUAAAUGAGUAAUCUAAUUCUUCUUAUGUCUCUUUCCAUAAUACCAACAUCAUUAUUUACUGUCACAAACUAGAUUGGAAAAUAGCUUUGAACCUAGUGAAAAAUAAAGUUAGAAACCUGGGCUGGUCUUCUGGAGGAGUGCUGUUUGGAGGCACAUUAUUGUGGUAUGGUAAAAAAAAAUAGAGCCGAGAGUAUAUUCAGUGUGCAAAUGUUCAUGGACUUCUCACAGAUGUUAAAGAGUCAGCUCCAGCACUUUCUUCAUAAUAUUCCAUAUUCAGCCAAGUUAAUUAAACUCAGGGUUGCUCUACAAGUCUUCACUUCUCUGAGAAUGAGAGAACUUGGUCUUGGUUAAAUGUAGUUUCAUGUGUUACUACUUACAGAGGGAGUUUUAGAUAGCUGCUCUCGGUAAUAUUUUGACAAGAAUGCAGGACCUUUGUAAUGCAGUAAUUGCCUGGAGUAAGGAAAUUCCAUAGGAAAAUGCUUCAUUCAUGUGAGUUCAUAUCAGCACUACUCAACGCAAGCAUCUGUAAGUCCAGAAAAUGUCUUUGAAAUCUUCCUGCAUUAGUUUGGGCCUCGCCCAUCCAAUGAGUGCACUGUCUUAAUGAGACCAAGAACAGGAAUCUAUUGUAAAGCGAAUGAGCGGGACUUUAAUUAUUUACAGUCACAAGUCUCCCACAGUGUUUAUUCCAUGCACGUUCAUAGUAUUGAGUCUGCGUUGUUUCAGAUCUCUCCUACUGACGUUGCCCCUUCUGUGCUGGUACUACUGAUGUGGAUACAGCAGUGACUUGUGCACUUAUGUCCACCUUCAUGCUAACAGAUCUUCCAUUUGCUGCUGUAGUUCUGUCUGUCUCUCCUGAAGAGGUCAGCUGAGCUCAUGAUGCUAUCCCUUCCUUGCUGAUGGUGUUUGUAAUCUAUUGUAAAAUGAUGUAAUUUCUGUUUCUUUCAUCUGUUCCUUAGUUCCAGGUAUUGUCUCCAGUGGGGCUUUACAGUGCAAACAGAACUUAUAUGCAGAAGGUGUGACUUUGGACUUCAUCUGAAGCUUCCAUAGUGUUAAUUUCACAGGUACUGUCUUCUGCCCAAGUCAAAUGAUAACUUUCAUAAUGAGUGCUUCAGAAAUGAGACCACCUCUUAAUGUUCUUAGUGGCAUACAUCACUUGCACAUGGAAACUAGUUCUAACUUCAACAUUUGUUCUCUGUAUUUUCUUGAGAAUGUCAGUUCUUGCAAGGCUUUUAACUUUAUUCCUCCGCUCCGAAUAUUUUCAUAGUUUGCUUAACUCAUGCUACCAUCUGUUGUUCAGUAACUGCUCGGAGCCAAGAGGGCUGAUGGAGAUCUGAGUUCUCUUAGAUCAGCACUUGGCACUGUGGGUUUUUUCACAACCCAACAAGCAGUUCCAACAGCUGCAUGUAUGAAUCACUGAAGUUAUAGUACCCUGCAGCACACUGUAAGAAUGGGUUUUGGCAAUCUGGUCAGAUGCCACACAAGUGAAAGUGCUAUGAACUGAGCUUCUCGUAAGGUGUGACAUAAAUUUAAGGUACCUAUUUCAAUCCUUAUUUUAAUAAGUGGUUUGUCAUCAUUCAGAAUGCUUUUGAAAUACCUCAAUUCCAUAUAAUAAUUUACCAUUAAUUAAAAAAAAUACUCAGUAGGCUGGGAGGAUGGUUGUUAGUUAUAGAAAACUAUCCCGACACGCUCCCUGCGUUAUUUCCUAUUACUGAGAGAUAGUUUGCCCCAGCAGAACUGCUCUUCACAUGCUCUCGUGUCAGUCUAUAUUUAAACCUGUCUCCAGCAGUAUUUUAUUUCAGUUGUUUCAAUCGGGUCAGCUUAGCUGUGGAUACACUCUUGAUUAUGUUAUAUGUUUAUUGAGAGACUCGUUAUCCUUUACUGCUCUUCUGCAAACACUACAAAACCUCAUUUCAGUGAGAGCUGAGCAAGCGAGCAACACUUCUUAAAGUUCUUGUUCAAUAGGAGAGUGUGGGCUCCUUGUUGGUUUCAGAGCAGCUCACUGAGUGCACAAACCCAAAGCCCAAAGCAUUGUGUUUCCUGCUGGUGUCAAUGAGCCCGGUGUCACGGAGCAAACAGAGCUGUGCUGCUGAGGAUCUGGUCCUGCAUGGAAGUUGUUACGCGUUGGUGUUGUCAGUGUUUAAUGAUAACCAUUGCUUUGGCUCCGUGUUUCACAUAAAGCCAUUUACAGAAGAAUUUAUGGAGUCCAUAUGUUUGUAUUUCACUUAGCUGCCUAAAUAAGGUGCGUGUGGUGGGACGAUAUAUACAAUAUUUUGUCUUGAUUUUUAUUUUGAAGCUGCGUUUGCAGACUGGCUGGAGCCAAGCAGGGUAACUGAAGGAUCGGACCGUAUCACCCAGGAAUAGGGUGCUGAAUCUUCCCUUCCCUCUGCAGGCAAUUUCCACAGAACUGCCUGGCAGGACUUCCCGAAGUUCCUCUUAGAAACUGAGAUCAGUGGGUACCCAGGGGAUAAUGAGGGAGGGGUGCCAAAGACAGCCUCAGUCAUGCAGCAGAAGUAGGAUGGGAAAGGACAUGAUUAAGUCUUGUGCUCCGGGAGUUUACGUUUUUAUAUAUUUAUUUACUGAGUCUAGCUGCAGGCCUUUCACAGUGCUGGAAGAGCAGAUUAAAGCAGGAUGUGCAGGCUGCAGCCUGACACGGUGAACUUGAGCGCGCUGUAGAAGGUUGGUGUUCGUUUCCCACAAUGACAGGGGUUCUUAGGAGUUUAUGAAAUUUUUAAAGAAUUAAAGAGAAUGAAUUUCAGCCAACUUCUCAUCAGGGAUUUAACUGCAGGUAGGAUAGGUGAAACUCUGUAGUUUGUACCACAGAUAACUCAGCUAAAGGAUGCAGAAGUGUUCUUUUUUGCUUUCCCCGGAUGUUUUACAUUUAACAUCACUCAACUUAGGGAACUCUUACUCUGGAAUAGAAUCAGAUGCCAAGCAGUGAGGAAUGACCAGAUUUCCUAUAAAGCAACAAACACUUCUAAGUCUGUUAAAGAAAAGGAAUGAAUGACAAAAGGUGCGGUUACCUCCUCUUCUUGCCCUAGUGAUUUCUAGUUGUGCUUAUGCAGCAGAAUUGAUAUUGAGAAUAUGAAAAGGAAUAGCAAAUGACUUGAAAACUCAAGGGGAGAUGUAAUCUUUGCUUUGGUUGUGCCAGCAGGGCAUGCCAAAAUGCAUCAUAGACAGCAUUUUACAGUAAACUUCUAUCUUCAAAGUUUCUAGAGUGAUCCUAUGGGUUUGGGCAGGUGACAGAAUUCAGCUCAUUCCGUUUCCACAUUAAGAAACUGCAGUAUCCAAAUCAGAUUCAGUCCAUGUCUGAAACGAAAUACAGUAUUGUCUUGAAUAUUGUGCAUCUUGUAGCAAAGUUAAGUCACCAUACCCAGACAAGCAGCAGAGACAGCAGCCUACAGUCAGAGCCUUCUUCCAUUCCAUGCGCUGUGCCAGUGUUAGUAAAAGAAGGAAUAUCUGACAGGCUUUACCAGAACUCCUUUCACUCAUUAAAUCCACACUUGUCUGAGAUGAAGGCACUAGAUCUAGCAGCUUCUUUAUACCAUUUACAACUGAGCUUAGCUGUAUACAGGGUUCCUGAAGUCUCUGCAGUGACCUGAAGGUCAGACCAGUGCCCAAGAAAAAUUACUUAAAUUGACAUAGUAUUUCUUACUUUACACACCUUCUGUAAGGGACAGCGGGAGGUCUGAAACAGGCUAAGAAGGCAUAAGAAAGACUGAGUGAAGACGGGGAAAAAGAGGAGGAAGAAAACCAUUGCUUCUUGUAUGCUGCAAAGAGAUGGGAAGGAGGAAGGGAUUGUAAGGAAAACAUCAAAAGACAAAAUGGAGAGUACUGGUACUCAGAUAAACCUAACUUAAAAGUAGGCAAAGGGGGAGAGGGGACAGGAUAGAGAAAACUGGUCUCAGUGUGGUGGGGAAGUGAGAGCCCACCUCCGUGUGCCAGCUUUUUUCUGUUCCCAAGAGCGAUGUGCUCUGCAGAAGACAGACAGAUGGCAUUUCCAUUGCCUGUGCUCCUGUGGGGGAUUUUUCCAGAUGGGGAGUUGGAAGCUUCUUUGUGCUGUUACAGCCUUCCUCUCUAGCAGCUCUCGACCGCUCAGGGCCUCCACCAGUCUGCGUGCUCAGAUCCUGUGCUCCUUAUACACGCGCACACACACGUCAUGCUGCUGCAUGAAUUUCAGCUGAACCUGUUUGAAAAAUGGGUCCGUUUGUAUCUAGGGUGUUCUUCACACUUGAAAAGUAUCCUUGUUGCCUUUUCUUCUUAUGACAUGCACCUGUGUUUUGUCACAACGAAGAGAUUGCUAACAAAAACUGAAUUACUACCACUGAUCUUAAGGAAAAGCUGACAGGACUGUUUUUCACAGAGGAACCACAGACACCAUCGCCUCCAUCACCCAUUAACUUCAGCAGUGUCAGUGCUUUCCUACCUCUGACAAACAGGGAGAACAGAAAUGACAGGUUUCUCAAAAUUACCUGAAAAAAAUAACAACCGUGGGGUGACCGAGGAAGCAGGAGAAAUCCAAGGAAGCCAUUCUAAAUAAGAAGCUGUCACCCUUGAUCUGCUCUCCCUUAACAGCUGAGCAAAUGAACACAGAAAGUAGAACUUUGGAAAGGUAAUGUGAUUUCAUGUUUUACAAUCAACUACAGGGAGAGACUAAGUGUGAUCCCUUUAUCUUAGCUAUACAUUACAUUUCUGAACAUCUCACCUGCGUACAUAAGUACAUUUUUUGGUUUGUUUUUAUACUUCCCUUCCUCUGCAACUUUCCAUUUGCAGCAACUGACCUUGCUCUUUCCACUCCAUUUUCUUUCAGUUUCCUUUUGUACUCCUUACUGGAUUGUCACCAGAUAUUACGGUCUUCCUGGUUAGUUUCCUUUCCCCAGGAACAGCAGAAGGAGGAAAAAUUGUAGCAGAUUAAAAUAUAUGGAAAGUCAAAUACGUGCAGCAAACAUCUUCCUUAAAAAUAGCAUCACCCUGAUUUCAUUAUUUAAAUUCAUGACGUGGUUUCUGUUCUGAUCUUUCUGCACAUCCAGACAUUCUUUAAAAUCAGCUUAGCAAAUACAUUAGAAAAGUUUGCUGUUGUUUAAAGAAAAAAAAAGCCAUUCAAACACAUUCAGGCCUGGAGAUAGGAAAAUGUGCAGGGCAAAUGACGAAACACACAAGGUGUGGGAUUUGUGCUACUGGGAGCAUCUCAAAGCAAGGAAGGUGGUAGGUCACACAGCUAUUAAGAAAGCAAGUUUACAGGUCUUGUAAGUCUUGAAAUUCAUACCAGAGAGAGAAAACUGCAUGAUCCUCUCUCUUUGAGCACCUAAGCACAGCAUUAAACAGAACUGGCUGAGCCCAUCCAGCACAGCGCUCGUGCUCCAAGCACAGUCAGCAAGAGCAGGGUGCUCAGAGCGCCGCUGUCCACUUGGUCACACCUCAAAGGAUGGUGACUCUACAGCCUCUCUGAGCAACCCAUCACCACCUUCACAGUGACAAAGAUUUUUAUUACAUCCAAGCAGAUUUUCUCCUAUUUCAAAGACACAAUAAUGCAAAGAGAUGGCGAUGGUGGAGAGUCCAUAAAAAAGAUCACAACAUCGGUGGUAGGACUGCAUCUCAUCGGGCUCUGUGAUUAAUUUUCACUCUUGUACUCAAAAUGAUUUUUGUCUCUUCUGGGGCGUGAAUAUUUAACUUAAAAAACGUGUAGAAUCGUAACGACCAACAGAAUCCAGGAAACACAACAGGAGCAGUCUGGGCAGUCAUCUUCCUGAAACAAACUUAGAGACCCAAGGAAGAUGCAAAAUACAACAGGUGUGGCAAUAGGAUUGGGGACAUGAAUGAAAAACUGCGAAAAAAUCAUACCAAUGGAAUGACUGGGCUUACAUUUAAUACAGCAAGGUGCUGAUAAAGUCCAUUUCUAGGGAAGCUGAUGCUGAGCUGUAGCACAGACCCUUCUGUGAGGGAAAAAGCAAGAACUGAGCUGAGAGCGCACUGAAAAGCUGCAGAGGUAAGCGGUGCCAUCACAUACAAAGCCUUUCAUCUGGUCCCCAAGGGAGGGCCCACCGUGUGCACAACACCGCGAUGGGGACCAGCAGUAAAUAACUACCCAAAUAAAGAAAAAGGAGAGGGAAAAGGCAUGCAGGGACUACUGUAAUGAAGUGGCUUUGUUUAAAAUGAUUUCAAACACAGAGCAACCAGUCAUCACCUGAUUAGAAUGCGACAUAUGUUCCAUUAGACAGAACUACGAAACGUCUGUACACUCAGCUGCAUUUGGGAUAAUAAGCUCUCAUUUGCUAUAGGCACUGUAUGUUCUUUUCGUUUUACUUCUAUUGGCAAUUAACCUCCCUGUUAUUAAGAAAAUGGAGCUCAAAGUGGAAGACAAACACACUCAUUUGCAACGCUGAAGAAACAAGAUCCUUUCACAUAUGCUCAUUUCUUCAAAUGUGUUUUUACCUCCAAAGCUCUUUAAGAUACAGCGAAGCAAAUCAAACCUUCCUCCAAUCUUACUGAUUCCCAAACUUCUCAGGCAGAAACCCCCACAGCUCUCACAGGCUCUUCGUGUUAGCAAGCUCUGCACCUCCAGCUGCUUGGGGCUUACAUUCCCACUGCAGAUGGUGACCUCCAUCCUAAGUAAGUCCUGCUGCUGGAGGUAAAAUCUGGAAACUUCAAACAAUCAAGGAAAGUUUUCACCUCCCAUCUAAAAAAAAAAUAGUUGGAAAACUGGGAGCAAAUCCAAACAGUACUACUUUGGGCCUGCAUGAGAGCAGCACAGCAGCUGGAGUGCACAUGGAGCUCCUGGAAAGAUGAUGAUGUAGAAAGAAAACUGAAGAAGCAGCACUUUGCUUUGUUGUGAGAGGCGAAAGGUCAGUUUAGCAUUCAAAGCUCUGCACAGAAAGCACAGCGGUCUUCUCCCAGUUUAGAGAAAGAACAGUCUGCCAAGCCUGAUGGGACUGUAACGAAUGGUUACUUCUCAGAACAUACAGUGGGAUUUGCAGGAUCACCUGGCUUUGGCCAAAGUCUCUUAGCCCCAACUAGCACAAGCAGCAGCACAUGUUCUGAGCAGCAUUCAGCUGACCAUAUCCCUGGACUGCAGUUAGCAGCACAGAGAAAUGCUGCUUACUUACACGCUGUUGCAAAUGUAAGUUUUACUCCUGAUUCCUCCCAACCUGAGUUUACAGCCAGGUUCUUGGGCUGCAGCACAAACCAGUGAGCAAUGUUCUGUAUUCAGCAUGCACCAUCUUCACCUUGAAAUGGGACCCCAUCAUACUGAGCUAUGCCAGCACUUCGGGGAUAAGGACCUGGAACCAGACAAAAAUAAGCAGCAGGGAGAAAGAAGAUGGCACAGCUCAGCCAGGAUACCUGACAGGACAUCACAGCAAGCACAGCUUUAAGCAUGAGAUCAGGGAAGCAGUAAUUCAGAAGAUGUCUGGAAGCAUUCCUCCCAUGUACAAAAAUGAAGGCAAAAAAAGCUGCACAGAAAAAAGAGCUAGAAGACACUCGAUCAGUAUUUCAAGCAGUAGUAGAGAAAAGGCAUCAGGGAACACAGGAACAACCUGCAACAUGGACCAGUGGCCUGGCCAACAGCAUACUAUACACAGUAUAAGAACACACACCGAAAAAGAAAUUAAGUGUCAGAUCAAUGGGAUUGUAAGAUCUUUGCUGCAAUGCGUAACAGAAGAACAUGAUGGCAUUUGUCAGUGCCAGAGGGAAGAACGAGGAGGUCCUGACAGUUUUACAAGUUCUGUUUGUAUGUUUUCAACACAAGCUAAGUGAAUGCACGGGAUUUAAGCAGUUUCCGCAUAUAAUGUAUGAAAGCAGUGAGAUAAACAGGGCAGCUCACAGACUUGUGCCACGGAAAGACAACAGAAUGGCAUCAGCUUCUUCUUGUUUUCUCUGCUAAAUCAAAAUUUAAAGAACAUACUCUCUAUCUGCAGGUAGGCUGCAGGUGAGUAUUCAGUCAAGACAACAGGUUUUGAAAAAACCACAGGUGAAAUGAGAACUCACAUCCAGAAGACCCCGUGCUGAGGUUGUGGCCCUCAGUUCACUGUUGCCAGCAGUGCUAUGAUUACCAGACUGACAGACAUUUUGCCCUCUUAAUUCCAUCUUAGAUAUGGAAGUUAAAACAAAAAUCCAAUAGGAACAACUGGCAGAAAAAUACUGUCCUCAGGCAGUGCCUCAACAGACCAACCUGAUCCUCAUCUGUUCCUGCAUUUGGAAAAACGGAUUUUCCUUGGGGCAGAUCGUGGUAACCUUUGCUCACUUGCGUUGUCUAUAUUUGGCUGCACGAAGUAUGUUAGUUCUGAUCUUGUCAGGGCUUGUAGACUUGCAGAAGAGUUCUCUGGACUUCAUCCCUGAGCUUGCUGCAAAUUCAGAUGAAGGUUUAGAAGCAAAGGAAAAAGUUAAGAGAUGGGCAAUCCAGCAUCGAUUUAAGGUAUACUCUACAGACAAAUCCUCCUUUCACUUUCCAUCUUUGCAUAAAACAUGCAGUAAAUUCUACUGAGAAUUACAGCCUAUUCCUCGAACCAAAAGAACGCUUUGGACAUUUGAAGGCUUACUACGGUUGCAACUUCUGCACUUAGUUUGAAGCAAAUGACAGAUAUUCUCGGAUGUUCUUGCCCUUUUCUCUGCAUUCUCGUUUGAAAAAGGACAUUCCAGCCUUGUGUAACUGACUCCCAGCAGUGAUUAAUACCAGUCCCUAGAAAAGAAACAGUGUUGUAUGUCGUGUUGAGCACUUCCACAGCAGGGCGUAUUUCACUUCACAGAACUUUACCAGAACUGCCCUUACAUUACAAUCAGCACAGAGACGUAACAACUAAGGAGGGACAGAAAAGCUAAAUUCCCCUCACCGACUCUCGAAACAGGAGCAACUGUUACAUCUGUACAGAUUCAGAAGGCUCCUACUGCAAUAAAUAAGAACCUAACGUGUUAAAGCAAGUUUUAUUUAAGUAAUUGGAGGGAAACUUCCAUACGGUAAGUAAAAAUACUAGAGUUGAAAGUUGUUAAAAUAAAAAAAAAGAUGAUGGUUCUCUGUGCAAACGCAGCAGGCUCUGAUGGAAAGGGGAAGCAAAGGGGCUCAUAAUAUACUCCUUUUCAAACCAAAAUCAAAUGCGAGCUAAUGGUGGUACAUGGCGUCGUUUUUUAUACAGUCAAGAGAACAAAAAAACCCAAAAAAAGCAAUUUAAGAGAACGCAACCUACCAUGGAAUAAAUUCAUUCGCAGGAGAGACAGAAUAAGACUGCUUUUAUGAAAAUUACAAAGAAACUGAUACAACAAAAAUGGGGUGCGGGGAAUUUUUCCACUAAGGUUAAAAAAUGAAGAAACAAAAAAAAAAAUUCACUUUUUGAACACCAUUAUUAUUCAAACACAUAUGAAGUUCCAACCUAGUUUUUUUCUUAUACAUGGGAAACACUGUUAAAGUGAAUCUUCAAGAGUGAGAAGGCACCGUCAACUGUCAGCUGAUACCUUUAAUGCACACUCAAGAAAGAGGAAAUGAUCUGGCAUGAUGCAAAAAAUCAUUAAGUGUUUAUAUAUAGUCAUAUAUCUUUCCAUAAAAAAAAAAAAAAGCGGCAACAAGUCAUUACUUCAGUGCCAAAAUGGACGUCUGUCUGGAUAACUCGCUCGUUCAGAUGGUUUCUCAUGUAGACCUGUACGGUAUUUUUAUACAGUGGUGAAAGUGGGUGAUUCUGUGUUGUUGCAGUUCGUAUUAGUUGGUAAAUUAAGCAUUUUCUAUGUUCUGAGAAGCCAAUCCUAUGGAGUAUUCCUAAACUACACAAAUGGAAUAAUUAAAUGCAUCCUGAACGGAAUACUCAUCUGUACUAUGUAGCAAUGGACCAGAUUCCACUGGAUUCGGUUUGAUAUGUAAUGUCUUGUAGCAGAUGUUAUAACAAAAAUAACUUUUGCUUUUUGAUUUACCUCACUGAGGCCAUUAAUGCUGUUCCUAUAGUUGGUUUUCUGGAGCUGGAUGACACUUCAACUGCUGUCCAAAAUGAGUUUGAACCUUAAUCCUCCAGAGUUUGUUCACUUUGUUGCUUCUAUUAUUGCACUAACUACUAAAGUCUUAUAUCUUCCUAUAUAAAUCUAAUUGUUCAGAGUGCAGAUUCUAUAUUUAGACAAUGAACUGUAUGAAAUAAAUAAAACGAGGGGAUUUUCUGGUCAGAGUUGCUGAUAUGUUGAAUACCUUAAUUAAUUCUAAAGUAAACAGUUUUGGUGCAUAUUCUUAAAAACCUAUGGUCGUUCAGCAUAAGAGCCUUGACGUAAUACUUUAAGAAUGGAUUUGUUUUCCUUCUCAAAAAUGCAUCAAAGAAUUGUUUUAAAUACAGAAUCUGUGAGGCUUCCUACAAAUUCAUCUAAAUCGUAAUACAAACACAGUUUGUAAUUCAGAUAAUAUAGAAAGUUCUCUAGUGUCCAUUGAAGUAAGGUCCCCAAAAUGCAGUCUGUUUUGUUUCUGAAUGGGAAAACACUGCAAAACAUUAAGCGGUUCCACUGGCUGAAUAGGAGAACUGAGGAAAAUGAGGUCUUCUCUCAUUGUCUACACAAUCCAUGCUGUCAUCUUGGUCAGGAGGAGUGAUUGUAAUCAUCUGUGCUGUAAAUUCUUCAUCAAAGUAUCUUGUAUCUGUUUCAGAUGUAACUUGUGGCUUAAAUGGAGGUACAAGCUUUUUCUCGUAUACAUCUUGCCAAACAAUGCCAGCAAAGAAUUUGUGCUGCAUAAUCUCCUUGGCAUCAUCAGGACCGCCUCCUAACCUUUGCUUAGGAUCUUUCUUCAGCAAACCUGACAAGAGAGAUUUUGCUUCAGGUGACAAAGUGCGUGGAAAUCUAAUCUCUUCCAUAAGGAUGAGUUCAAAGAGCUUUUCAUGGUCCUGAUUGUAGAAAGGGAGCCGGCCACACAUCAUUUCAUACAUCACAACUCCUAAUCCCCACCAGUCCACUGCACGACCAUAGUCAUUAUCCUCCAGCACCUCUGGUGCAAGAUACUCUGGAGUGCCACAGAAAGUCUUCAUUGUUGCUCCAUCUUUUAUGCCUUCUUUACAUAGUCCAAAGUCUGUAAUUUUUAUGUGCCCGUCUUUAUCCAGCAUAAGAUUUUCCAGCUUCAAAUCUCU